GAUGAACGCUGGCGGCGUGCCUAAUACAUGCAAGUCGAGCGAACAGACGAGGAGCUUGCUCCUCUGACGUUAGCGGCGGACGGGUGAGUAACACGUGGAUAACCUACCUAUAAGACUGGGAUAACUUCGGGAAACCGGAGCUAAUACCGGAUAAUAUAUUGAACCGCAUGGUUCAAUAGUGAAAGACGGUUUUGCUGUCACUUAUAGAUGGAUCCGCGCCGCAUUAGCUAGUUGGUAAGGUAACGGCUUACCAAGGCAACGAUGCGUAGCCGACCUGAGAGGGUGAUCGGACACACGGGAAGUGAGACACGGUCCAGACUCCUACGGGAGGCAGCAGUAGGGAAUCUUACGCAAUGGGCGAAAGCCUGACGGAGCAACGCCGCGUGAGUGAUGAAGGUCUUCGGAUCGUAAAACUCUGUUAUUAGGGAAGAACAAAUGUGUAAGUAACUAUGCACGUCUUGACGGUACCUAAUCAGAAAGCCACGGCUAACUACGUG
rnacentral:rRNA from 1 species